UGAGCAAUCUGCCCUUCUCUUCGGAAUAAGCGUUGGAAACGACGUCUAAUGCCGAAUACGACCUCCUUUCGCAUGAUCGGAGGUGGAAAGCUCCGGCGGAGAAGGAUGAGCUCGCGGCCUAUCAGCUAGUUGGUGUGGGUAAUGGCCCACCAAGGCGACGACGGGUAGCCGGCCUGAGAGGGUGACCGGCCACACGUGGGACUGAGACACGGCCCAGACCUCCGUACGGGAGGNAGCG
rnacentral:rRNA from 1 species